rnacentral:rRNA from 1 species
AGGAAAGCAGGGGAUCGCAAGACCUUGCGCUUUUGGAGCGGCCGAUGUCUGAUUAGCUAGUUGGUGAGGUAAAGGCUUACCAAGGCUUCGAUCAGUAGCUGGUCUGAGAGGACGACCAGCCACACUGGGACUGAGACACGGCCCAGACUCCUACGGGAGGCAGCAGUGGGGAAUUUUGGACAAUGGGGGAAACCCUGAUCCAGCCAUGCCGCGUGAGUGAAGAAGGCCUUCGGGUUGUAAAGCUCUUUCAGCCGGAACGAAACGGUCACGGCUAAUACCUGUGAUCACUGACGGUACCGGAAGAAGAAGCACCGGCUAACUACGUGCCAGCAGCCGCGGUAAUACGUAGGGUGCGAGCGUUAAUCGGAAUUACUAGGCGUAAAGCGUGCGCAGGCGGUUUUGUAAGUCAGAUGUGAAAUCCCCGGGCUCAACCUGGGAACUGCGUUUGAAACUACAAGGCU